rnacentral:tRNA from 1 species
UCCUUCGUAGUGUAACGGUUAGCACACUCGGUGCGUAUUCGAGAGGUCCAGGUUCGACUCCUGGUAAGUGCA